rnacentral:tRNA from 6 species
GCCUCUGUGGCGCAAUGGACAGCGCAUCCGGUUACGAGCCGGAAGGUUGAAGGUUCGAAUCCUUCCAGGGGCG